UGUGCGUGUGUGCGCAAGUGGGGAAGGGGCAGAAAGAGAGGGAGAGAGAGAAUCCUAAGUAGGCUUGGGGCUGUCGACACAGGAUCCAAGGUGGGGCUGGAUCCCACCAACCGAUCUCAGAUCAUGACCUGAGCUGAAAUCAAGAGUCCAGUGCUUAACCAACUGAGACACCCAGGCGCCCCAGAAAUAGGGUGAUCUUAUGUUCCGGUUUGUUUGGGACAGUUUUGGUUUGUACCUGUUAUAUGCCAUAAUUAUAACUACAUCCUCCCUUUCAUCCCCCAAAGUAUGCCAGUUAGGCAACAGAAUACGUGGUCACCUUACCCAGAUGCCUCCUGUGUGUCUCCAGGAUAGUCCCCAUCCUAGACUCUUCCUUCCCUCAAAUAACCACCGUCUGGAGGUUUGCUUUAAUUAUUCUCCCCUUUUCUUUACAGGUUAAGCACCAAAGCAAGAGCGCCUGGGUGGCUCAGUCGGUUAAGCAUCUGAAUUCGGCUCAGGUCAUGAUCUCAUGGCUGGAUGCAGAAGUGAUGCCGCAUGAUUUCUGGGUCCGGGCGGUGAGAUGAUCCCACGUAUUCUCUUGGGCCCCUACCUCGGCCAGAGAACGAGCUCAGACAGCUUGCUGUGGGUAAGAGAAUUUGUGGAGGAGGACUUUCCCGGCGAGGACAUUCCAGAUGAGCUGGUCCCCACCUGACCUGCCUGCUGACCGUAGAUUCAUGAACAAACCCAGCCUAGAUCAGCUCAACUUGGCCCAGACCGAAAGAACUGCCCACCUGACCACAGACUCAUGAGAAAUAAUAAAUUGUUAUUUUAAAUCAC